rnacentral:lncRNA from 1 species
UAGGUGGGCGUUUUGAAGAGUACAAGCGCGGGACUUGGCUUUGGGGCCCUAUUGGUCUACUCGGCAGGUCUUUUAACAGUGAUAACUGCCUUCGCAUUGGCCCUUGCUGGUUUUCACAAUCCAACAAAAAGUGCAGCGGUUUCCAGUGAGCACAAUUUGUCGGUGUAUUUUUCAAUUGCCCUAACCCCGUAUCCUUUUUGGCUCAUUGCACUCUGCACACCGUUGCGAAAUCCCAGAUGCAGAGAAGUUCGAAUCUUCCAAAUGCAGACAAUACCACUGCCGCAGCAUAUGAUCCGCUCUGCAUUCUGAAUUUCAUUCCGGCGAACACCAUGGCUUGUGCUGCAAUUCCUUCCGCGUUCAGUCUACUAACUGAAUACUGAACACAGUAAGCGCCCCCAUAUGCCGCGCACUCUCGAGACGCAACCUAUGUCUAUUAUUCUCUUGCUUCAGC